rnacentral:rRNA from 1 species
UACUAGAGUAGCACUCGCAUAUCAAUAAGCGGAGGAAAAGAAACUAACAAGGAUUCCCCUAGUAACGGCGAGUGAAGCGGGAAGAGCUCAAAUUUGAAAUCUUAAAGGGUUUCCCUUUACGAAUUGUAGUUUAAAGAAGUGUUUUCUGUUGAGGUUUUGGUAAAAGUUCUUUGGAAUAGGACGUCAUAGAGGGUGAGAAUCCCGUAUUUGACCUUUACUUUCAACUUUGUGAUACACUUUCAAAGAGUCGGAUUGUUUGGGAAUGCAGUCCAAAAUGGGUGGUAAAUUUCAUCUAAAGCUAAAUAUUGGCGAGAGACCGAUAGCGAACAAGUACCGUGAGGGAAAGAUGAAAAGAACUUUGAAAAGAGAGUUAAACAGUACGUGAAAUUGUCAAAAGGGAAGCGUUUGACACCAGUGUUGUUUUUCUGAAAAUCAAUUAAAGAACUGUUUAUGCUAAGCUGUUUAGACUUUAUCAGCUAUCUGUUUAGUUUUGAGCUUUUCUUUAAUGCACUUUUCAGUUAACAAGUCAACAUCAAUUUCUUUUGCUGUAAAAAAGCUUGAGGAAGGUGGCUUGAGAUUCGUCUUAAGUGUUUAUAGCCUCUUGCCUAUGCAGUCGGAGAGAUUGAGGUCUGCAGCGUAGAUCCUUCGGGGCUAAAUGCAUUUGUGCUAAGUUAUAGCAUUUUAUAGACAACUUGUUGACUAUGAUUUGUCUUGUAGCUUACUCGCUUAUGUUAUUUUACCUACGCUUAGGAUGUUGAGCGCAUGUCUCUCUCU